rnacentral:rRNA from 1 species
GGAGUUAGCCGGUGCUUCUUCUGUGAGUGAUGUCCUUCCUGCCGGCUAUUAACCCGCAGGCCUUCUUCCUCACUGAAAGUGCUUUACAACCCGAAGGCCUUCUUCACACACGCGGCAUGGCUGGAUCAGGGUUGCCCCCAUUGUCCAAUAUUCCCCACUGCUGACUCCCGUAGGAGUCUGGGCCGUGUCUCAGUCCCAGUGUGGCUGAUCAUCCUCUCAGACCAGCUACGGAUCGUCGCCUUGGUGAGCCGUUACCUCACCAACCAGCUAAUCCGACAUAGGCUCAUCCGAUAGCGCGAGGCCCGAAGGUCCCCCGCUUUCCCCCGUAGGGCGUAUGCGGUAUUAGCCUGGGUUUCCCCAGGUUAUCCCCCACUACCGGGCAGAUUCCUAUGCAUUACUCACCCGUCCGCCGCUCGCCACCAGGGAGCAAGCUCCCCGUGCUGCCGCUCGACUUGCAUGUGUUAGGCCUGCCGCCAGCGUUCAAUCUGAGCCAGAAUCAAACUCUGA